rnacentral:rRNA from 1 species
GAGUGGCGAACUGGUGAGUAACACGUGGGAAACCUGCCCAGAAGCGGGGGAUAACACCUGGAAACAGAUGCUAAUACCGCAUAACAACUUGGACCGCAUGGUCCGAGUUUGAAAGAUGGCUUCGGCUAUCACUUUUGGAUGGUCCCGCGGCGUAUUAGCUAGAUGGUGGGGUAACGGCUCACCAUGGCAAUGAUACGUAGCCGACCUGAGAGGGUAAUCGGCCACAUUGGGACUGAGACACGGCCCAAACUCCUACGGGAGGCAGCAGUAGGGAAUCUUCCACAAUGGACGAAAGUCUGAUGGAGCAACGCCGCGUGAGUGAAGAAGGGUUUCGGCUCGUAAAACUCUGUUGUUAAAGAAGAACAUAUCUGAGAGUAACUGUUCAGGUAUUGACGGUAUUUAACCAGAAAGCCACGGCUAACUACGUGCCAGCAGCCGCGGUAAUACGUAGGUGGCAAGCGUUGUCCGGAUUUAUUGGGCGUAAAGCGAGCGCAGGCGGUUUUUUAAGUCUGAUGUGAAAGCCUUCGGCUCAACCGAAGAAGUGCAUCGGAAACUGGGAAACUUGAGUGCAGAAGAGGACAGUGGAACUCCAUGUGUAGCGGUGAAAUGCGUAGAUAUAUGGAAGAACACCAGUGGCGAAGGCGGCUGUCUGGUCUGUAACUGACGCUGAGGCUCGAAAGUAUGGGUAGCAAACAGGAUUAGAUACCCUGGUAGUCCAUACCGUAAACGAUGAAUGCUAAGUGUUGGAGGGUUUCCGCCCUUCAGUGCUGCAGCUAACGCAUUAAGCAUUCCGCCUGGGGAGUACGGCCGCAAGGCUGAAACUCAAAGGAAUUGACGGGGGCCCGCACAAGCGGUGGAGCAUGUGGUUUAAUUCGAAGCUACGCGAAGAACCUUACCAGGUCUUGACAUACUAUGCAAAUCUAAGAGAUUAGACGUUCCCUUCGGGGACAUGGAUACAGGUGGUGCAUGGUUGUCGUCAGCUCGUGUCGUGAGAUGUUGGGUUAAGUCCCGCAACGAGCGCAACCCUUAUUAUCAGUUGCCAGCAUUAAGUUGGGCACUCUGGUGAGACUGCCGGUGACAAACCGGAGGAAGGUGGGGAUGACGUCAAAUCAUCAUGCCCCUUAUGACCUGGGCUACACACGUGCUACAAUGGAUGGUACAACGAGUUGCGAACUCGCGAGAGUAAGCUAAUCUCUUAAAGCCAUUCUCAGUUCGGAUUGUAGGCUGCAACUCGCCUACAUGAAGUCGGAAUCGCUAGUAAUCGCGGAUCAGCAUGCCGCGGUGAAUACGUUCCCGGGCCUUGUACACACCGCCCGUCACACCAUGAGAGUUUGUAACACCCAAAGUCGGUGGGGUA